GGUUAAGGUAAUAAGGGCAUACGGUGGAUGCCUAGGCACCUGAAGCCGAAGAAAGACGUGGCAAGCUGCGAAAAGCCACGGGUAGGAGCAAGCAUCCUUUGAUCCGUGGAUAUCUGAAUGGGGCAACCCGGCCGAGCAACCCUCGGUCAUCCCGUAAGGGAAGGAACCCGGCGAAGUGAAACAUCUCAGUAGCCGGAGGAAAAGAAAUCGAGAGAGAUACCCUGAGUAGUGGUGAGCGAAAGGGGAGCAGCCUAAACCCGGUAAGUGUAAGACUGCAAUCGUUGCUUAUGGGGGGUUGUGGGAAUAUGUACUCGUGACUUGCAGGUUGCGACAGCAGUUACAAAAGAAAUCGUUAGACGAACCGUGUUGGGAAAGCGGACCGCAGAGGGUGAAAGUCCCGUAGUCGAAAGCGAAAUCUCUGUUGACAUAUCUCCCGAGUAGGCCGGAGCACGAGGAAUUCCGGUUGAAUCCGGGCGGACCAUCGUCCAAGGCUAAACACUUCAGGUGACCGAUAGCGAAUAGUACCGAGAGGGAAAGGUGAAAAGCACCCCUGGCGGGGAGUGAAACAGACCUGAACCCGUAUGCCUACAAGCAAUCGGAGCUGGAAAUGCCGCGAGGCAUGGAAAGUGACGGUGUGCCUAUUGAAAAAUGAGCCUGCGAGAUACUGCGUGUAGCAAGGUUAGGGCUAUAAGUCCGCAGCCGAAGGGAAACCGAGUCUAAACAGGGCGCAAGUUUCACGUAGUAGACCCGAAGCCCGACGAUCUAGCCAUGGCCAGGUUGAAGUGAGGGUGAAACCUCAUGGAGGACCGAACCAGUAUCUGUUGAAAAAGAUUUGGAUGAGCUGUGGUUAGGAGUGAAAAGCUAAUCGAGUUGGGUAAUAGCUGGUUCUCCCCGAAAUGCAUUGAGGUGCAGCCUCAGGUAUUUCGUCUCGGGGGUAGAGCACUGGAUGGAUGCGGGGGACUGGGGUCCUACCAAAUUCAACUAAACUCCGAAUACCGAGACGUGAAGCCUGGGAGUGAGACUACGGGUGAUAAGGUCCGUGGUCGAAAGGGAAACAGCCCAGACCGUCGGCUAAGGUCCCAAAGACAUGCUAAGUGUGGCAAGGAUGUGGAGAUGCCCAAACAGCCAGGAGGUUGGCUUAGAAGCAGCCAUCCUUUAAAGAGUGCGUAAUAGCUCACUGGUCGAGGAUCUCUGCGCCGAAAAUGUAGGGGGCUAAGCAUGACACCGAAGCCACGGGAUGUAUGUAAAUACAUCGGUAGGGGAGCGUUGCCAUUGGAGUGAAGCCGUAUUGUAAAGUGCGGUGGACCGAUGGGAAGUGAGAAUGCAGGCAUGAGUAACGACAAACAAGUGAGAAUCUUGUUCACCGGAAGACCAAGGUUUCCUGGGGAAGGUUGAUCCGCCCAGGGUUAGGCGGGACCUAAGGCGAGGCUGAGAAGCGUAGUCGAUGGACAGCAGGUAGACAUUCCUGCCCCGUUCUUGGACGUUAUUACCGAAGUGGUGACGCAGGAGGCUAGGUGUAGCCGGCGGAUGGAAGAGCCGGUCCAAGGGAGUAGGCAGGGUAGGCAGGAAAAUCCACCUACCUGAUAAUGCUGAGACCUGAAGGGGAGUGCUUACGAGCGCGAAGACAUUGACGCCACGCUGCCGAGAAAAGCCACUAGGGAGGAAGAGAACGCCCGUACCCGAAACCGACACAGGUGGUCUGGCUGAGAAGGCUAAGGUGAGUGGAAUAACCAUCGUUAAGGAACUCUGCAAGUUGACUCCGUAACUUCGGGAGAAGGAGUGCCACCCUGGUGAAGCUAAUGCUGGUGGAGCUGAGGGUGGUCGCAGAAACCAGGCCCAAGCGACUGUUUACUAAAAACACAGGACUCUGCAGAAGGCGCAAGCCGACGUAUAGGGUCUGACGCCUGCCCGGUGCUGGAAGGUUAAGGGGAGAGGUUAGUCUUCGGGCGAAGCUUUGAACCGAAGCCCCAGUAAACGGCGGCCGUAACUAUAACGGUCCUAAGGUAGCGAAAUUCCUUGUCGGGUAAGUUCCGACCUGCACGAAUGGCGUAACGAUUUGGGCGCUGUCUCGACGAUGGAUCCAGUGAAAUUGUGGUACCGGUAAAGACACCGGUUACCCGUGGUGGGACGGAAAGACCCCGUGGAGCUUUACUGUAGCCUGGCAUUGGGACUCGGCACAUCAUGUACAGGAUAGGUGGGAGCCUGAGAAGCGAGUACGUCAGUAUUCGUGGAGGCGUUGUUGGGAUACCACCCUUGUUGUGUUAAGUUUCUAACCGCUGCUUCUGAAUCGGAGAGCGGGACAUUGUCAGGUGGGCAGUUUGACUGGGGCGGUCGCCUCCUAAAGAGUAACGGAGGCGCGCAAAGGUCAUCUCAGGGCGAAUGGAAAACGCCCGAAGAGCGUAAGGGUAUAAGAUGGCUUGACUGUGAGACAGACAUGUCGAACAGAGACGAAAGUCGGUCCUAGUGAUCCGGCGGUACCGAAUGGAAGGGCCGUCGCUCAUCGGAUAAAAGCUACCCCGGGGAUAACAGGCUGAUCUCCCCCGAGAGUUCCCAUCGACGGGGAGGUUUGGCACCUCGAUGUCGGCUCGUCGCAUCCUGGGGCUGAAGCAGGUCCCAAGGGUUGGUCUGUUCGCCCAUUAAAGCGGUACGUGAGCUGGGUUUAGAACGUCGUGAGACAGUUCGGUCCCUAUCCACCAUGGGCGUAAGGUAUUUGAGGAGAGCUGCUCCUAGUACGAGAGGACCGGAGUGGACGCACCGCUGGUGUACCAGUUGUGUCGCCAGAUGCAUAAGCUGGGUAGCUAUGUGCGGAACGGAUAACCGCUGAAGGCAUCUAAGCGGGAAGCCGCCUCCAAGAUGAGAUACCUCACUGCGUAAGCAGGUAAGGCGUCCCGUAGACGACGGGGCAGAUAGGCCGGAGGUGGAAGCGUGGCAACGCGUGGAGCUGACCGGUACUAAUACGCCGAGGCCUUAACCUC
rfam:Dethiosulfovibrio peptidovorans DSM 11002 ctg1, whole genome shotgun sequence.